GGCAGAAACUGCCCCCCAUGAUUCAAUUAUGGGGGAUAGAGGAGGAGGGAGCAGAGAGGCAGAAGGACAGUUUGAAGCAUGGAGAGGCAGACAGAUCCCCAAUAUCACGAGGGGAGACAUUUUUCAAAUGUAAUUUGCACUAUGUCUCUGCAAGUCAAGAUCUUGUAGGGAUAGGAACAUUCCAGGCAGAGGGAACAGCAUGUGCAAAGGUAUGGAGGCUAGAAGGCAGAUGAGGAACUUGAGAAAGAGCCUGUUCAAUGUGGCUAGAGCAGGAUAUCAUUUGGUCUUAAAAAGGAAUGAAGUACUGAUACAUGCUACAACAUGGAGAAUCUUGAAAACAUCAUGCUAAGUGAAAGAAGCC
rnacentral:lncRNA from 1 species